UACGUAGGUGGCAAGCGUUGUCCGGAAUUACUGGGCGUAAAGCGUGCGCAGGCGGUUCUGUAAGUCUGUCGUGAAAUCCCCGGGCUCAACCUGGGAAUUGCGAUGGAGACUGCAAGGCUAGAAUCUGGCAGAGGGGGGUAGAAUUCUACGUGUAGCAGUGAAAUGCGUAGAGAUGUGGAGGAACACCGAUGGCGAAGGCAGCCCCCUGGGUCAAGAUUGACGCUCAUGCACGAAAGCGUGGGGAGCAAACAGG
rnacentral:rRNA from 1 species